rnacentral:lncRNA from 1 species
UGUUCAGACGGUAAGUUGUAGGAUGUGUAACUCAGAUAUUGUAUAGAUCUUUAAAUAGCUAUAGUCUAACUUUCUUGCUUAUGCAGGCCGAGGAAACAGCUAUUGCCUCAUUGAAGAGAGCGCUUGGUUCUCUGAACACACACCUUGCCUCAAAGACGUUCCUUGUUGGGCAUUCUGUUACUUUAGCUGACAUUGUAUUGACAUGCAACCUCUACACUGGAUUUAUGUAUAUCCUGACCAAGAGCUUCACAUCUGAAUUCCCUCAUGUUGAGAGGUAUUUCUGGACCAUGGUUAACCAGCCUAACUUCAAGAAGGUCAUCGGCGAUGUCAAGCAGGCAGAGUCAGUGCCUCCUGUUCAGAAAAAGGCCGCUCCUCAGCCAAAGGCAAAGGAUGUCAAGAAAGAAGCCCCAAAGGAGGCCCCGAAGCCAAAGGUGGAGGCACCAGCAGAAGAGGAGGCACCAAAGCCGAAGCCGAAGAAUCCUCUUGACUUGCUGCCACCAAGCAAGAUGAUCCUCGAUGACUGGAAGAGGCUGUACUCAAACACAAAGACCAACUUCCGUGAGGUUGCCAUCAAAGGUAUCUUCUCCACCUUAUAUCAACAAUAUAUUAUUUUUUUCCUUCCAAUCUUUGAAUGUGAGUGGCUGGUGCUGUAGUCUCGUUUGCAGUCUAUCAAUGUUAUGUUACAUUGACACUAGCUAGAGAAUUGGGACUCCCCUCUAAAUUGGGUGCUUCAUCCUGAUAAAAAUCUGGAUGUGGCCUUAUGAUCAAAUAUAUUGUUGUUUUAGACAGAAUGUAUGGUCUUAUACAUUUUACUUGAGCCAACAACAGAUAGCUGCAAAGAUCUACACCAAUCCAAACUCAGUGGUAACAAUAGUUGUGUAUCAUGUAAGCACUAAUAAGAAGAAUACUGAAUUUUAGUUUGCAACAGCAGUUUACACUUAUCUUAGUAAAUUAAUUAGAUGAGUGUGCUAAUUUCAUUCUUCCACGUCUGUGGAACUUUUACCAAAGAAGCUUAUGUGCUGUCUGUGUUUCAGGUUUCUGGGACAUGUAUGACCCAGAGGGCUACUCUCUGUGGUUCUGUGACUACAAGUACAAUGAUGAGAACACCGUCUCCUUUGUGACCAUGAACAAGGUUGGUGGGUUCCUGCAGCGGAUGGACCUGUGCCGCAAGUACGCCUUUGGCAAGAUGCUCGUGGUCGGUUCUGAGCCCCCCUUCAAGUUGAAGGGGCUCUGGCUCUUCCGUGGCCAGGAGGUCCCCAAGUUUGUCAUGGAUGAGGUCUAUGACAUGGAGCUCUACGAGUGGACCAAGGUGGACAUCUCGGACGAGGCACAGAGGGAGCGUGUCAGUGCCAUGAUCGAGGACCAGGAGCCCUUCGAGGGUGAGGCCCUGCUUGAUGCCAAAUGCUUCAAGUGAGGUUGCACUUACCUAGAGAGAACUGUUUAGGCUUUGGGUCGGAUGUUUAUGGAAGAGUUUGCUUGUUACUUCUGUCUAUGUUGACCUGUUAUACUCAUGAGUUGUGGUUGGUUAAAUUUUGGGCUAUCCUGUGUUCUUUAGUAUUUGAUUGGGCUAUCUUUCAAGUCAGUAAUCUGGUGCUGUUGUCUUAUGUGACUGUUGGAUUAUUGGACUUGUAGUGCUUAGCUUAUUUUUAACAUUCCUAGUUGCAAUUGCAAGACAGCAAGAACAAGCGUCGUAGGAGUAGCUUUUGUUUUGCUUGUGUUUGAGCUCCAUGUAUUGAAACUGUUCUAGUGGUUUCACACUAAAAUGGUUGUGAAAGUCAGCACGGCUUUAGCCGAUUCAUUUGUUUCGCGAAAGCCUUCUUCGGUUAGAGGUGAGACAUGUGAUUAUUUCACAUUAUCAUUGGUGGGAAAGCAUAUGGACUAGGAGGCUACUAAGCAGGGAGGGGUCUCCGGAUAAGCCUUGGUCCAGACCCCUCCCCGCUGACGCACACACACCGCUCUCUUAUCUUCCUCGCUCCCGCUGAUGCACAUGCACCGCUCUCUUAUCUUCCUCACGUUGUUCCUGUCUUCCUUGGUUCCUCCGCAUGCCUCUCCCCCGCCUUGCCACCAGCAUCCCCUCGUCGACGUCACCUCCGUUGCCGGCGAGGACCGUCCUCCCCUACCCUCCCCUACCACCUCCGCCUCUCCCUCCUGUUCCUCCUACACUCUUCUCCUUCAGGAUGAGCUCCCCACCUCUUUCGGGUCCGGCAGCAUUGCCUCGAUGACCGCUCCCACCCUAAUCCAACCAAAGCAAUAAGCCCCAAACCCAACCGCCAUCCUCCACCACCGCGGUGGGUGGCGCCACCGCCGUCCCGCCCACACACCGACACCACCGCUGGUCCGGCAACCUCCCCCGACCAUCCCUUUAGACCCGGCAGGAACGGACCACCUCCCCAACCCCAAACCUCGAAACCUUAACCCCAACCCUAAGCCCUAACACGAAGGUUGCUGGAGUUGGAGGUUGCCAGAAUUCGAGCUGCCGAUCGAUGUGUGAUUUGUUACUUCUUCGAUUCGAUUGUUACCUAUUCUUCACUUUUCCCUCUUUUGGUCCUUGUUUCUUACCGACGUAUUUUGUCCUUCCAAAACAGGAGGGCUCUCGGUUUAAGUCUAAAUUGAGAGGCCUCUUCCUGCAGAUUAUGCGUAUGGACUAAUCGCACCAUUGACAACAUGAGAUUGUGCAAGGACAAUGUGCAAGCAUAGUGAUUUGGAAAAGGCAUCAAUUUUAUCAAUAGCACUGAAACAGCAACAUUUUACUAGUGAUGGUGAAAAUCAGCAAUAUAUGGGUUUACAGAGAACAAUUCUCCAAAGAAAUAAAGGAUAGCCCAAAAUAAACAGCACCAAUUCCUAGUUUCACGCCAUUUUUGCAUCCCCGGCUACUAGAUGAAAGCAUAUUUUUGUUACGUUCUGAUGAAUGGUACUCUUCCAUUAUAGUCGACAUGAAUUAUUGCGGCGAUUUGAGAAUCACUUUUGACGCCUCAUGCUCCACGAUUUUGUGUAUGGUUCAGGGUGGACUGCACAAUGAACGUACAAGUUGCAAACAGAAUUACUUAAGAUCAAGAUGGGUGCCACUGUUCUAGAAACAACAUUAGUUGCAAACAAGCAAAUGAGAAAUCAAGCAAUACUCAUGCAGAUGUGAUCAAGCUUUAUGUAUUUCUUUUUCUUUAUAUGACCAAGUUGUAGACCUUCGAAAUGUCUUUAACUCUACUCCCUCUGUUCCAAAUUGUAGGUCGUUUUAAUUUUCCUAGAUAUAGUAUAUAUCUAGAUGCAUAAUAAUAUCUAUAAAUCUAGAAAAGUCAAAACGAGUCAGAAAGGAUGGAGUAAGAUGAUAUGAAGACGUAAGACGUGCAUGUGCUACAUCAAAUCCAAAACUUGAUACUAAAUUCUUGCUCUCAAGUUUAGUUCCAGGUUUCUAAGUUCAGCUGAAACCAAGUUAAACUGUGAUUCUAUUCGAUCUAUUACUUACAGCCUGUUUGGAUACCCUGUGUUAAAGCUUAAUAAGUGUUAAAGUUUUAACACUCUCAAAUGGAGUGCUAAAGUUUAACACAUUGGGGUGUUUGGAUGGUGUGUUAAACUUUAACACCUUUGGUGGGAAAUGACUCCAUUGCCCUCUCAUUUAUGGCCGGCGGAGAGACAGGGAGGAGAGAGGAGGCAAUGGUGGGAAAAAGUGGAGAAGGAGGAUCACUUUUAAUAAGUUUAAUAACUUUUAACACCUCCUUAAGGUGUUUAUGAAAUUGGAGAUGUUAAACUUUAACACAUUCCUUUUAACACAUACCUUUAGGAGAUAAUGUGAUAAAAAUAUGUUAAAAAUGAGGUGUUAAACUUUAACACCCUCUAUCCAAUCAAUCAGGGCCUGAACUUACCCGCCACGGAAGGUAAAAGAUUGGUCAAUGCGAAAGGGUGGAAAUUGUUUGUUGUUUUGUGUUAAACACCCUCGUUAGCUCCGAAGAAAGUGUAGCCAGGACCUGAUUUUAAAUUGCAAGUUAGUACGAGGAGCUUAACCACAAAGGACCCAUCCAGAUCCGACGCAUCCAGCUCACCCCGCAAUCAAUCUCGUCCGUCCAAUCCUUCCCAUCCGGACGCCUGCCGCCGCAACCCUAGACAUUGGCUUCCUUCCCCCGUCCCCUCCGCUGCGCCGCCAUCGCAUAAAUUCGCCUCCCUCUCCCACCGUAAACCCCUCCCUCUUCCUCCGGCGGCCUGCUCCUGCGAUCUGUGCUGCGGAUCUGCUGAGGCUGCAGCGGGACCAGUCGACAUGGCGCUCGUGAGUUCCUUCGCGCUUCCACCUCUGGGUUUUGUUCCUGCUGUUUCAGAAGUGGCUCUGUGGUUCAUCGCGCAUCGGACUGCCUGUGCGGAUCCUAUGGUGGCCGCGGCUGUUGGGCUGAUGGGGUUUUGAUGCUUGAGGAUUCAUGCCAUGUAGUUAGCUUGAUGUACGCGGGUCACUUGGGUGUGGAAACUGUAGAUGCGAACGGGGUGUGGUAGGCUGCCUAGAUCCUCGACUCUGCUUUCGGUCAGGCGUGUCUUCAGUGAAACAUCACCGAUCCCCUGGUUCGUUUCAACUUCAACAGCACAAAAAACUUCGGCCUUCAGAAAGUGCAGCGAUAGGUCAUUUGUCCGCUUCGCUUCUUUACAACCGGGGGUUAGGGGGGUGAUGCCUUAGUGCUAAUGAUGUGAUUCAGAGUCGCUGACCUACUAGUAGAAUGGUUGGGUGUGCAUUUGUAUAGGGCCUUUGACCUUUGAUCCAGGGUGAUCAUGAUAUUUUGGUAGGGUGUAUAACCGUUUUAUGUGCAACUCAAGUAGAAUAAUGUAUUUGAACCAUUGGAUUCAAUUAGGAGCUAAUAUCUGGUCAUCCCAACCCAAGUCAUUUUAAGCUUCUGGUCCUUAGUUGUAAUUGAGUUGUAAGUUUUGAGGAAAUUGUUGCACACAUAGCAGUCUCUUUUGGGUGACCUUGAAAGGAAAAUAAGGGUGUUUUAGAGUGUUUAUCAUGAUGCAGCUCAGCUACAGUGCGUAGGAGGAAUUGAAGUUGAGAGGUGAAGCAUGAAUUGUGGUUUAUUUUGAUAAUUUCGCAGUUAGGCAAUUCAAAACAAGUACUGUUUGCUAUUCUAGUCCCACCUGCACAUUCCUUUACCUAGUUGUAUUUCUAAACCAUCUUGAUUGGCUUAAUUUGCAUGAUAAAUGCUCCUAUGUCUUGUUGGGAAACAGAGAUUUCACUGACCAUUUCCGAGUAUAAACACACAAUCUGGGCAAUUGGUGUCUUUGCUUGUGUAUUUUUCCCUACUAUAGUGAAACACAUCUGUCAAGUGGAUAAUGUUUAUGUUCUGGUUCUUCACUUAGAUAAUGGUCUAGAUGUCAUUACUUGGCUUGCAUGUGUACCAUUAAAUUAACAUUCACAGAGGACUUCCAAUUUUUAACUCUAUGUCUAAUAUAAUUUUCGUUGCAUAGGUAUUGCAUUCUGGACCUGGAAACAAGAAUGCCUUCAAGGCACUUAUUGCUGCAGAAUACAGUGGGGUCAAGGUUGAGCUGACCAAGAAUUUUGAGAUGGGUGUCUCCAACAAGACCCCUGAGUUUCUUAAGAUGAACCCCCUUGGGAAGGUACAACAUACACCAACUACAUCUUUGAAAUAGUUAUGUAUAGAGGUUCAGGACCUAACAAUUUCAUUCAGGUUCCUGUUCUGGAGACUCCGGAUGGUGCUAUUUUCGAGAGCAAUGCUAUUGCACGCUAUGGUAUAUACUUAAUUCCACACUUUUGAAUUCUAAUUCUUUCUUUGACUUUCUGUUGAUGGUAACGAUGGCUCUGUUUUUCUUUUAAGUUGCUCGCUUGAAGGAUGACAACCCUCUUUUUGGGUCUUCUCGUAUUGAACAAGUGAGUGAUUUAUUGGAUGGUAGCAUACCCUGAUAAGUAAGUUUUAGGCAUAUAACCUCUGAACCUCAUCAAUGGUUCUUGCAGGCCCAUGUUGAGCAAUGGAUGGACUUUGCUGCAACCGAAGUUGAUUCUGGUGUUGCAUGGUACUUGUACCCAAGGCUUGGUUACAUUCCUUAUGCUCAGACGGUAAGUUGUUGGAUGGGUAACUUGGAUCUGUAUUAUUGAACAAGGAAUAGCUAGUCUAACCUUUUUGCUUGUGCAGACCGAGGAAACAGCUAUUGCCUCAUUGAAGAGAGCGCUUGGUUCUCUGAACACACACCUUGCCUCAAAGACAUUCCUUGUUGGGCAUUCUGUCACUCUAGCCGACAUUGUAUUGACAUGCAACCUCUACCAUGGAUUUGCACGGAUCUUGACCAAGAGCUUCACAUCUGAAUUCCCUCAUGUUGAGAGGUAUUUCUGGACUAUGGUUAACCAGCCUAACUUCAAGAAGGUCAUGGGUGAUGUCAAGCAGGCAGAGUCAGUGCCUUCUGUUCAGAAAAAGGCCGCUGCUCAGCCAAAGGCAAAGGAUGUCAAGAAAGAAGCCCCAAAGGAGGCCCCGAAGCCAAAGGUGGAGGCACCAGCAGAAGAGGAGGCAC